rnacentral:tRNA from 1 species
GCCUUGGUGGUGUAGUGGUCAAGACGCUCGCCUGGUAAACAGGAGGGCGUGGGUUCAAACCUAGCCGAGGUA